GACGAACGCUGGCGGCGUGCUUAACACAUGCAAGUCGAACGGAAAGGCCCUGCUUGCAGGGUACUCGAGUGGCGAACGGGUGAGUAACACGUGGGUGAUCUGCCCUGCACUUCGGGAUAAGCCUGGGAAACUGGGUCUAAUACCGGAUAGGAGCCAUUUUUAGUGUGAUGGUUGGAAAGUUUUUUCGGUGUAGGAUGAGCUCGCGGCCUAUCAGCUUGUUGGUGGGGUAAUGGCCUACCAAGGCGGCGACGGGUAGCCGGCCUGAGAGGGUGGACGGCCACAUUGGGACUGAGAGACGGCCCAGACUCCUACGGGAGGCAGCAGUGGGGAAUAUUGCACAAUGGGCGCAAGCCUGAUGCAGCGACGCCGCGUGGGGGAGGACGGCCUUCGGGUUGUAAACUCCUUUCGCUAGGGACGAAGCUUUUUGUGACGGUACCUAGAUAAGAAGCACCGGCUAACUACGUG
rnacentral:rRNA from 1 species